rnacentral:rRNA from 1 species
UCCUACGGGGGGCAGCAGUGGGGAAUCUUUCCCCCUUGUGUCCACCCUGAUGCAGCAACGCCGCGUGAGUGAAGAAGUAUUUCGGUAUGUAAAGCUCUAUCAGCAGGGAAGAGAAUGACGGUACCUGACUAAGAAGCCCCGGCUAACUACGUGCCAGCAGCCGCGGUAAUACGUAGGGGGCGAGCGUUAUCCGGAUUUACUGGGUGUAAAGGGAGCGUAGACGGUUCUGCAAGUCUGAAGUGAAAGCCCGUGGCUUAACCGCGGAACGGCUUUGGAAACUGUGGAACUGGAGUGCUGGAGAGGCA